UGUGAUGAUGCCAUCAUGAUGUUGAAGC
rnacentral:piRNA from 1 species